UUUACUUUGCAGCUUUGAUUUUCUUUUUUGGUUUCUUUGUUUAUAGGAUUACAGUAUUGAUUUUGAACUGUGCUUGUUCAAUUAUUCAGCACCUUUUUGUUAAUUUGCGACACCUUGAUUCUACUCACAUGCCCUUUUUCAUGUCUGACAGUUUGUUUUCAUUGAUCAAUUGUUUGGGUCUACUGAAUAGCCAGUGUAAUCCAUAUAGUUCAAGGAGCUUUUUGAAGAAAGGAAACUUUUAAUCUUGCUAAGUUAAGAUAAUUAAAGCACUAUGCGGUGCAGCGAAAUGAGUUUAAACAAGUAGUAGUAAGAUAUUAGAUGGCUGCUUUGGGAGUUGAUUGGCGAAUGUUAAUGGAGAUAGUAUUUGAUUCAUGCCUUAUUUGUGCAGGAAUAGUUGAUGUGAUACUAUCUUAAAUGCUGUUUUGCUGCAGAUUUUGUGAAUUUGUGGCCUUAUUUCAUGCUUUCAAGAGGGGGAUUUCGCAAUGUGUCGCAUGAGCCUGCUUUCCUGUUCACAUCUGGCCAACUACAUGAGGGGAUCUAUUCCUCUAUCAUCACUGCAUCUUAUGGUAACCACCAUUAAUGCUCAGCAAUGUAGUCUGUGUAAUAUUUGUCUCUGUGUUGAUUAAUGUCAAACUUAGUCCGCACAUUUCGUUCAUAAUUAUGGAAGCUUUAAUUGAAAUGCUCGAAGAUCGUGAAUCCCUCUAGUCAUUCAGAGUCAAAGCAGUAACCCUGUUUCUGCUUUCUGUUGAAUGAAUUUUUUUCUUUCCCCACAUUGCUCCUUCCUAUGUUUUGCUUUGGCUUUUCUUUUUUAUGUGUCGUUGUUGAAGGCUCCGAUGAUGAUGUCUAUAUUCUAGUAUAUCGUUCCAAUUGCUGAACUGCUCCACCGUGUUAGUGGUAAUGUAGAGAUGAAGGGACAACUGAGGAGCUUGCUUGCACUCUUUUUAUGUAUAGUUUGCUUUUUCUUUGAUUUUUUUUUUGCUUGUCUUGCACAAAAUGGUAACAUCAUUUCUUGAGGAUUGGCUUCCAAUUUUAUUUUAUUUUUUGCU